rnacentral:rRNA from 1 species
UGGGGAAUAUUGGACAAUGGGCGCAAGCCUGAUCCAGCCAUGCCGCGUGCGUGAUGAAGGCCUUAGGGUUGUAAAGCGCUUUCACCCGUGAAGAUGAUGACGGUAGCGGGAGAAGAAGCCCCGGCUAACUCCGUGCCAGCAGCCGCGGUAAUACGGAGGGGGCGAGCGUUGUUCGGAAUUACUGGGCGUAAAGGGCGCGCAGGUGGUAACGCAAGUGGGGUGUGAAAGCCGCCAGCUUAACUGGCGGAGGCCAUCCCAAACUGCGUCACUUGAGGCCUGUAGAGGUAUGUGGAAUUGCCGGUGUAGUGGUGAAAUGCGUAGAGAUCGGCAGGAACACCCAGGGGGAAACCAGCAUACUGGACAGGUCCUGACACUCAGGUGCGACAGCGUGGGGAGCGAACCGGAUUAGAUACCCCCGUAGUCC